GUCCCGCCUGCCCUGUGACUAUAUGUUUAACGGCCGCGGUAUCUUAACCGUGCGAAGGUAGCGUAAUCACUUGUCUUUUAAAUGAAGACCUGUAUGAAUGGCAUCACGAGGGCUUAACUGUCUCCCCUCUCCAGUCAAUGAAAUUGACCUCCCCGUGCAGAGGCGGGGAUAUCUUUAUAAGACGAGAAGACCCUGUGGAGCUUUAGACCUAAAAUAAACCACGUUUAAUAUACUAAAGUUAAUAGCAAAAACUUAGUGGAUAUUUAUUAAAGUGUCUUUGGUUGGGGCGACCGCGGAGUAAAACACAACCUCCGUGUGGAUGGGGAUACUAUCCCUAAAACUCAGAGCCUCCACUCCAAGCAACAGAAAUUCUGACCUACUGAUCCGGUAUAACCGAUUAACGAACCCAGUUACCCCAGGGAUAACAGCGCAAUCCCCUCUCAGAGCUCAUAUCGACGAGGGGGUUUACGACCUCGAUGUUGGAUCAGGACAUCCUAGUGGUGCAGCCGCUAUUGAGGGUUCGUUUGUUCAACGAUUAAAGUCCUACGUGAUCUGAGUUCAGACCGGA
rnacentral:rRNA from 1 species